AGACUGUGGUCUUAAUUCGGUGAGCCAGUCCUCUACGUAGGAGUGAGUGCACUCCUUCUCUGCCAACACUGACUGAGGCCAAAUAGGUUUAAACUCAAAUGGUUUGCAGACCAACAAAGCAUCUGCUUUUCUGUCAUGUGUUUUUCCCCGCACAACAUCUGCAUAUGUAAGAGGUCUUGCAGGGGGCAAUGGUGGGAAAGCAGUUACAGGUCCGCUGGUGUCUUUGGCGUGGACCUGUAAAGUAAAUGAAUCUGGUGAAUCUGGUCUGUUGUGGUCAAACAAUUCCUCUAGACAAAAUCCAGAAUACUCAGCAUCUGACAGUGUUGAAAAAGGUGAUACUGGUCUAUUAUUGGAGUACUGUAAGUAAUAGUUACAAUGUUGAGUCCGCAUCUGGUCAAAUGUCAUGCGAGGAGGCAAAAAGUACUGCUCCACUGAUGCCACAGAUUCUGGGGAGGAUGCUCUAAAGUCUGCCAACCAGUCCUGCAGGAGCCAAAAGUCAAAAUCUGAUGACACUGAUUCCGGGGACAACGCCCUGCUGUUAAACAACUUAUCAAGUUCAAAGUCUGAUAAAACUGACUGCGGCGACUCUGCUCUGGUCUCAUCAAACAGGGUUUCCAGACACAUAUCGGUACCUUCCCAGUCGGAAAUUGUUGACUGUGGUGUAAACGACCUUUGCCUUGACAACUCCCCAUGGUAACCGACUUGAGGGGGGCUGAACUGAGGAAGAGGUGAGUCAGGUGAGAGGGGCCUACAUUGACUUUGGAAUACCACUGAUUCUGGGGAGGAUGCUCUAAAGUCUGCCAACCAGUCCUGCAGGAGCCAAAAGUCAAAAUCUGAUGACAAUGAUUCCGGGGACAACGCCCUGCUGUUAAAUAACUUAUCAAGUUCAAAGUCUGAUAAAACUGACUGCGGCGACUCUGCUCUGGUCUCAUCAAACAGGGUUUCCAGACACAAAUCGGUACCUUCCCAGUCGGAAAUUGUUGACUGUGGUGUAAACGACCUUUGCCUUGACAACUCCCCAUGGUAACCGACAUGGACAGAUCUGAACUGAGGAACAGGCGAGUCAGGAGAGAGGGGCCUACGCUGAGUGUCAGACGCACCUGACUGGGAAGACUGUGGUCUUAAUUCGGUGAGCCAGUCCUCUACGUAGGAGUGAGUGCACUCCUUCUCUGCCAACACUGACUGAGGCCAAAUAGGUUUAAACUCAAAUGGUUUGCAGACCAACAAAGCAUCUGCUUUUCUGUCAUGUGUUAUUCCCCGCACAACAUCUGCAUAUGUAAGAGGUCUUGCAGGGGGCAAUGGUGGGGAAGCAGUUACAGGUCCGCUUGUGUCUUUGGUGUGGACCUGUAAAGUAAGUGAAUCUGGCGAAUCUGGUCUGCUGUCAUCAAACAUUUCCUCCAGACAAAGUCCGGAAUACUCAACAUCUGACAGUGUUGAAAAAGGUGAUACUGGUCUAUUAUUGGAGUACUGUAAGUAAUAGUUACAAUGUUGAGUCCGCAUCUGGUCAAAUGUCAUGCGAGGAGGCAAAGAGCACUGCUCCACUGAAGCCACUGAUUCUGGGGAGGAUGCUCUAAAG